UACGGAGGGUCCGAGCGUUAAUCGGAAUUACUGGGCGUAAAGCGUGCGCAGGCGGUUUGUUAAGCGAGAUGUGAAAGCCCUGGGCUCAACCUAGGAAUAGCAUUUCGAACUGGCGAACUAGAGUCUUGUAGAGGGGGUAGAAUUCCAGGUGUAGCGGUGAAAUAGCGUAGAGAUCUGGAGGAAUACCGGUGGCGAAGGCGGCCCCCUCGGACAAAGAACUGACGCUCAUGCACGAAAGCGUGGGGAGCAAACAGG
rnacentral:rRNA from 1 species